rnacentral:misc_RNA from 1 species
UUGACCUUGUCGCCCAUGACGCCGGCGAUCUCGUCGAGCGCGGGCGCGAUCAUGCGGCACGGACCGCACCAUUCCGCCCAGAAAUCGACGACCACCGGGCCGUCCGCCUUGAGAACUUCCGCAUCGAAAUCGGUGUCCGAAACCUUACCCACACUCAUGUGAUCUGCCUCGUUGGAUGAAAGGCGCGGGGAUCUGAGAGAAUCGCGCGCUGAAACGUAGGAUCAACCUAUGAAUGCACCCUUGCGCGGUCAAGGCUGGUCACCGGGACGUGUUCCAUCGGCUGGGGAGCGGGGGGCCCGGGAAGCGGUGCCCGUUUCAGGGGGUUUGCCCCGAGCACCCCNNNNNNNNNGGUGACGCUCAGGAAACAAGCGAUUGCAGCUCUGCGUCCAGCGCGGAGGCCGGAAUCUCCA